UCUUAAUCUCCCUAAGAAAAUUCAAAUGGAAAUGAUUCAAUUUCCUGGCAUAGUGUUGGUAGAAUGUAGAGAAUUCUCAAGCACACAACAAUGAAGUCGGCCCAAUGACUCCAUAACUCUUGGGUAUGGUAUGCAACCUAAUAUAUUUUCUCUUGCUUCCCUACAGAGACUCCCAAAUACUAAGAUAGCUCUGGCAAUGUAUAUCAAUCAAUAUCAAUUUCAUCAUCUGUUUCUAUAUCUCUGGAAAACAUACUUCCAAGGUGAAUCCAUUCUACUUCACAAAGAGUGCAAAGAUGGGAGUGAGAUACAGUGGGGGAAAGCAACACAACACAAAACAAAACACGAGAUUUGGAGUCAAAUGACUUAAAGUUUGAAUUGCUGGCCCUUCGAUUUACUAUCUGUGUGACAAUGGAAAUAUUAUUCACAACCUCUCUGGACCUAACUGUACUCAUCUGUAAAAAUACUGUUGAAAUAGAUGACUUUACAGUCCAUUCCAACUAUAAAGCUAUCAUCGACUAUUAUCUGAAAUGUGUUGGGAAGAAUGGGGCACACCUUUAAAAAUAUGGAAUUUUAUGGAUAGAAAGCAGAUGUUAGUCAGAAAAGGCCUCUGAAUAUAUACAUUGCUUCUGACUUAUACUGCCAAAGUAACCAAGGAAAAGAUACUAAGCCUCCGAGUGAUACAGGCAACUCUCUUAGGUUUUGCUGGUGUUUACCUGUAUUGGAAGAAGGAGUUUCCUCACUACAAGUUCUUUGCACCAUUAAAAUCAUAAAUUCAAUAUCAAAUAGUGAUGAUGAUGAUAAAAAAGAUGAUAAGAUGAUUACAAAUGAAAUUUGACCAAAGGGUUAUAUUGUGGUAAUGAGAUGAAUUUAUAAACGACAUAGAAGAGCAACACUGGAGGUUUGUCUUCAGAGACUGUGUCAUUUCCUUCAUAUGUAACUAACCUUCAGCUAAGGUAAUCCAAGAAAAAUAGGAGCUAAACAUCACAACCUUAUCAAAAC
rnacentral:lncRNA from 1 species